UGGACCUGCGGAAGGAUCAUUAUUGAAUGAAUUUGGGUGGGGUUGUUGCUGGCCC
rnacentral:rRNA from 1 species